GGGCGAAAGCCUGAUGCAGCAACGCCGCGUGAGGGAUGACGGCCUUCGGGUUGUAAACCUCUUUUAGUAGGGAAGAAGCGAAAGUGACGGUACCUGCAGAAAAAGCACCGGCUAACUACGUGCCAGCAGCCGCGGUAAUACGUAGGGUGCAAGCGUUGUCCGGAAUUAUUGGGCGUAAAGAGCUCGUAGGCGGUUUGUCGCGUCUGCUGUGAAAUCCCGAGGCUCAACCUCGGGCUUGCAGUGGGUACGGGCAGACUAGAGUGCGGUAGGGGAGAUUGGAAUUCCUGGUGUAGCGGUGGAAUGCGCAGAUAUCAGGAGGAACACCGAUGGCGAAGGCAGAUCUCUGGGCCGUAACUGACGCUGAGGAGCGAAAGCAUGGGGAGCGAACAGGAUUAGAUACCCUGGUAGUCCAUGCCGUAAACGUUGGGCGCUAGAUGUAGGGACCUUUCCACGGUUUCUGUGUCGUAGCUAACGCAUUAAGCGCCCCGCCUGGGGAGUACGGCCGCA
rnacentral:rRNA from 1 species